rnacentral:rRNA from 1 species
UACGUAGGGUGCAAGCGUUAAUCGGAAUUACUGGGCGUAAAGCGUGCGCAGGCGGCUUUGCAAGACAGAUGUGAAAUCCCCGGGCUUAACCUGGGAACUGCAUUUGCGACUGCAUGGCUGGAGUGCGGCAGAGGGGGAUGGAAUUCCGCGUGUAGCAGUGAAAUGCGUAGAUAUGCGGAGGAACACCGAUGGCGAAGGCAAUCUCCUGGGCCGGCACUGACGCUCAGGCACGAAAGCGUGGGGAGCGAACAGG